UAAAUAGUCUCUGACUAUAGGAAAUUGUUAGUGGCAGACGGGUGAGUAAUGCGUAGGAAUCUACCUAGUAGUACGGAAUAGCCAUUAGAAAUGGUGGGUAAUACUGUAUAAUCCCCGAGGGGGAAAGAUUUAUCGCUAUUAGAUGAGCCUACGUUAGAUUAGCUAGUUGGUGAGGUAAUGGCUUACCAAGGCUAUGAUCUAUAGCUGGUCUGAGAGGACGAUCAGCCACACUGGAACUGAGAUACGGUCCAGACUCCUACGGGAGGCAGCAGUGGGGAAUAUUGGACAAUGGGCGAAAGCCUGAUCCAGCUAUGCCGCGUGAG
rnacentral:rRNA from 1 species